rfam:Brachypodium distachyon strain Bd21 chromosome 1, whole genome shotgun sequence.
GGGAGAGUGCGAUGUUGGCACGGUUCAAUCAAAUCGGGUGGUCUCUGCAUGCACUGGCUUGCGAGCAAGCUGCGAUGAUGUUUCGCUCCAUCUGAUUGAGCCGUGCCAAUAUCGCAAGCUUCUUU